AAAAUACAAUAUAUUAAUUCAAAAUACAAACCAUACAUUGUUCACAAAAUUAUACAAACUAAAAUACAAAAUAUCAAAAUACAAAGAAAAGAUCAAUUACUGGAUAUAUCUGACAUCUGGUUCCUCCUCUGUCUUAUGUAUUGCAAGGCAAGUUGUGCCUCGGUUAUCAUAGCCUCUACAGUGGCCCUCUCAUAAGUGUCUUCGCCAAU
rnacentral:lncRNA from 1 species